ACUCCUACGGGAGGCAGCAGUGGGGAAUAUUGGACAAUGGGGGACCCGUAGCAUCCAGCCAUGCCGCGUGUGUGAAGAAGGCCUUUUGGUUGUAAAGCACUUUAAGCGAGGAGGAGGCUCCUGUAGAUAAUACCUACAGUGAGUGGACGUUACUCGCAGAAUAAGCACCGGCUAACUCUGUGCCAGCAGCCGCGGUAAUACAGAGGGUGCGAGCGUUAAUCGGAUUUACUGGGCGUAAAGCGUGCGUAGGCGGCUUCGUAAGUUGGAUGUGAAAUCCCCG
rnacentral:rRNA from 1 species